rnacentral:lncRNA from 1 species
UGAAGAUCAACGUACACACAAAUUUUGAGACAAAGUUAAUAGUUGGAAAGAGAAGAAUCAUUGCUGGGAUUUCUGCUUCACUUUUCAAGUUGGCAGCCGAGUGACAUUACUACAAUUUUUGGAGGUUUUUUCACAAUCUGUAAGUUGGAUUGGGCUAAAAAUUCUUGAGCAUAUAGAAGACUUAUAUUGACAAUUGCAUGCAAAAUUCCAAAUCAAGUAGAUAGUCAAAUUGGAUGUUAUAUCUUGUUAAAGCUCACUCAUUAGAAUAGGGACUUAGAAGAAAAAUUUAAAUUGCUUAAAUAUGAAAGUAACAAGGAAAUUGCGAUUCAUGUAUGAUUAAGACUACUAAGAAGAGUGUUUUUUGCACUUUUGGAUUGAAAUUCAGAUUAUACUCUACUUGCAUGGAUGAAAUCUAUUAAGAUUUCUAGGCUACUUGUGAAACAUAAUCUCACC